UUACGGCCAUAUCCCGUUGAAACACCUGUCCCAGUCCGAUCACUGAAGUUAAGCAACAUUGAGCUUAGUCAGUACUUAGAUAGAUGACCGCUUGGAAAUACCAGGUGCUGCAA